AGGAAGUAGGAACUAAUUAGGGCCGUUGGACCUAAUUUAGAUGUGCGCUUGAUGAACAGCGCAAAUUAUUUCACAAUCAAGCGAACUUUCUGUCCUCUCUCUCCUCAAGCAUUUUCUCUCUCCUCACACCAUUUUUGCUAAAACUCGCCAUUAAUUUUUCUCAAAAACUGCCAUAAAUUUCUCUUUCUCGUUUGUUAAUUUCUUCUGCUGACGAAAUUAUUCAUUGAUUUUCACUCGUUUUGAACGAAAUUACUUGAUGAAAGGUCGAAAAACUAGUUUUAUUUUGUCAGCUACAAUUUUGGAGUUCAUCCGAUUUCUCAAGUGCAAUUUCUUCAGCGACAAUGAAUCCCUCACGAAUUUGCAAUAUCAAGCUCAAAUCCAGUCAUUUACUCUGAAGUUUGUCAACUUUUGGGUUGAGUGGAUGUUCCCAUUUGUGCUACUACGGUUUCUCAGUACUACUACGGCCAUAUUGCGGCAAAUUACUCUAAGUUGCGGACUACAAUGAGAAGUUCUGGUGUAAUAAAGUUGCCUAGUAUAAGCUUCAUUGAGCUAAACAGUUGCAUUCAUAGGUUCGCUGCAUGAGCGUUCUCACAUCUUGAAGCUAAAGUGAUUCAUGACAUUCUUUGGGAGAUACACCAGCAAUGUACAUUGGAAAGUCAUGAGCAAAAGCUCUACUUUAUAAACAUUGUUCUCAUCCAAUCAAAGCUCUACUUUAUCAACAUUGUUCUCAUAUGAUGAGAAUAACAUCAUUUUUUUUUUAUUUUUUUUUAUUUUAUUAUUAUUAUUAUUUUUUUUAUUAUUAUCACUAGAGAAAUACAUCGGUUGUCUCUAAGAGUAAAUAAAUAAGAAUAUAAAGUAAAUAAGAAAACGACUUUAACAUAAACCUAUUAGCUCAAGUGGUAGAGCACUAUGCAUAUGCAUAGAGGUGUAGGUUCAAUUCCUACAUAGGUUAUCUCUAAAAGUUAAUAUAAACCAAUUUGAAGUAAAUCAAAAUAACUUAAAAGUAAUUCAUAUUAACUCUAAGGUGUAUGAAUAAUUAUUUGGAUUUCAAUGAUUAGUGACUAUGAAACUUUGAGUAUAACGGAGAUGCCAAAGGGUUUAUCAGUCGUAUGUUUAUGUAAAGAUGAAAGGCUGAAGAGUCGCAGAAUGCAGAGUAAGUUAGACGCUUAAAGCUAGAUAGGUUUAAUGAAGUAUAAAGGGAUCCUCAUCUACUGUAGAGAAUAUCAUGAUACCUCUCCAAAAUCUUAACUCUAUGGGCCAACAAUAACAGAAGAUAUAGAUAUGAAAUUUCGUUUUUGUUCUUCAAAAAUAAAUAUAUGAUGGCAGUUGAAAUACAGCAAAUCAUGCAGCAAGUCAGUAACAAUUGAAAACAGAGUUCUGGUGGAGGAAAGUGAAAUGAGAAAUUAGAGUAACAAUGUAGUUUUAUUAAUCUUGCACAAGUUUCAUAAGGCAAGACAGCGUGAUUUGAGUUCUUAGCUAUUCGCAGCAAAGUUUAAGUUAAAAGCCAAACUUCAGAGUGUUCACAGUCCAAACAAUUAAAAAGUAAUUACAGGACACUCUAAAUUUAUUCAAAAUACCUCAAAAGUAAAUCAAAAUCUCUCAAAAGUGAGUAGAAAACUAAA